rnacentral:rRNA from 1 species
CCUACGGGAGGCAGCAGCCGAGAAUAUUUGUCAAUGGGCGAAAGCCUGAACGAGCGACGCCGCGUGUGGGAAGAAGGUUUUCGGAUUGUAAACCACUUUUAUUCGGGAGAAAUCCGCAAGGGUGAUAGUACCGAAUGAAUAAGUGGUUCCCAACUCUGUGCCAGCAGGAGCGGUAAUACAGAGACCCCGAGCGUUAUCCGGAUUUAUUGGGCGUAAAGAGUGAGCAGGAGGUUUGGCAAGUUUAAUGUUAAAUGUCAGGGCUUAACCUUGAGGCCGCAUUGAAUACUGCCAGACUAGAGGAUGUUAGAGGCAGAUGGAACAGCCGGUGUAGGGGUGAAAUCCGUUGAUAUCGCAAGGAACACCAAAGGCGAAGGCAUUCUGCUGGAACAUUCCUGACUCUGAGACACGAAAGCGUGGGGAGCAAAAAGGAUUAGAUACCCCGGUAGUCC